AGGUCUGGGAGUUUCUGGACUCUCUACAGAACCUUCAUCCUUCAUCCAGGGCUGCACUGACAUGUCUGGAUCCUGAGUCAUCGGAGCUCUCCAAAGAUCUACGGGAAAAGCUUCAGCUGUGAUCCAGGACUCUGAAAAACUCAACCUUUCUAGAUGUUUAAUGAAGACACCUGGAGAAGAAUGAGCUGCAUGGUCGAGUCACCAGAAGAGAGACUUUCUGUCCACAAAAUAAUGUCCAACAGCUCAGACCUCCAAACAUCUGGACCAAAGUCAUUUCAGAGAUGAGACCAAGAUGGAACUCAAACUCUGCAUGUGGAGAGAAUUCAAAGAACUCUAUUCCUGCUGUGAAACACGGAGGCGGUCGCUGAUGGUUUGGGAUGUGUGAGCCACAGACUCAGGAAACCAGAUGAAUGUGAGAAAACUCUUCAGCUCUGAGGCACGACAACAAUCCAGAACAAAGAAUGAGCAGAAGGUUCUGGACCGGUUCAGUCUCCUGACCUCAGUAUUACUGAGCCGCUCCGAGAGGUCUCAGAUGAAACGGACCAUCAGAGAACACGAAGAAGCUCGUCCAUAACGACCAGAAGAGACUUCAGGGUGUGACUGAUGCAGAAGAAGAAAUAUGAGGAAUGGAGGAAGGAGACGUAAACUUUAGAACAUCUGGAAGUUUCUACUCGCAUUGGGAUCUAAAAACACAUAACACUGUUUACCAACAAACAUCUCCAUCCAAGCACUAACAUGAGUGGAGAAAAAGUGUUUGUGUUUUCAUUCAUGCAUCUGGUAAACAGACCAGGACUCAUCAUUUCUUCCAGGGUUUGUAAACGUAUUAAAACAACUGCAGAAAGAAACAGUAAAAA